CCCUUGAUAGCUCAGCUGGAAGAGCGCGAGACUGUAAAUGUUGCUUACGUAAUCUCGAGGCCACUGGUUCGAUCCCGGUUCGAGGGA
rnacentral:tRNA from 1 species